CACGUAGGGUGCGAGCGUUGUCCGGAAUUAUUGGGCGUAAAGAGCUCGUAGGCGGUGUGUCGCGUCGGCCGUGAAAACCUGCAGCUUAACUGUGGGCUUGCGGUCGAUACGGGCAUCACUGGAGUUCGGCAGGGGAGACUGGAAUUCCUGGUGUAGCGGUGAAAUGCGCAGAUAUCAGGAGGAACACCGGUGGCGAAGGCGGGUCUCUGGGCCGUAACUGACGCUGAGGCGCGAAAGCGUGGGGAGCAAACAGG
rnacentral:rRNA from 1 species